GGAGCCACCUGACACCAUGAAGAAACUGUUCUGGGUGGAAUGGCCAGAUGCAUUGCUGGCCAAGCCCAAGGUGACCAAGUCCUGCCUGAUCUGCGUUGAAGGACAGCUACACCGACUUCCACGUCGAUUGUGGGGGCGCCUCUGCCUGGUACCACAUGCUCAAGGUCCACAAAUGCUGCAAGUGCAUCGUCAAGCAGGGCCAGACCCUCUUCAUCCCCUCA
rnacentral:lncRNA from 1 species